AAAGUCGUAACAAGGUUUCCGUAGGUGAACCUGCGGAAGGAUCAUUAAUAAUAUAGCAAACCGAGCGUUAGCGAGGUUCUGCGAUCAAAAAUUUGUAUUUAAAACCCAACUCUUUGAAUCAAUAUUUUUUUAUGUAUUCUUAAAAUAAUAAAAGAUCACUUUCAACAACGGAUCUCUUGGCUCUC
rnacentral:misc_RNA from 1 species